CCUACGGGCGGCAGCAGUGGGGAAUAUUGCACAAUGGGGGAAACUCUGAUGCAGCAACGCCGCGUGAAGGAAGACGGUUUUCGGAUUGUAAACUUCUGUUCUUAGUGACGAAUAAUGACGGUAGCUAAGGAGCAAGCCACGGCUAACUACGUGCCAGCAGCCGCGGUAAUACGCAGGUGGCAAGCGUUUUCCGGAAUUACUGGGUGUAAAGGGAGCGCAGGCGGGAAGGUAAGUCAGCUGUGAAAACUACGGGCUUAACUUGUAGACUGCAUUUGAAACUGGUUGUCUUGAGUGAAGUAGAGGUUAGCGGAAUUCCGAGUGUAGCGGUGAAAGGCGUAGAUAUUCGGAAGAACACCAGUGGCGAAGGCGGCCAACUGGGCGUUAACUGACGCUGAGGCUCGAAAGUGUGGGGAGCAAACAGGAUUAGAUACCCGGGUAGUC
rnacentral:rRNA from 1 species